AAAAAAAAAAAGCAACAGAGCAAACUGUUGACUCAGAAUAUGAAUGAAUAGUAAGUUGUGCAAUUUUUCAGUUUGAAGGUUCACCACUAGGAAUAUCUUUAUUUGUAACCAAGAGAAGAAAAGCACGUAGUUUUAAAAAGAAAUGUGAAUGAUUGCAUUAUACUGUCACACAAUCUAUGCCUGCACAGCGUUGUUAUGGAAAGUUGGUUGCUUUGUCCAUUAAGAAACUGCAUAAUGCCUAAUUCAAAUGAAAGAGAAUCUUCCAAAUAGCAGAGGGAAUGAAAUUUCAGACCUGUUCUCUACUUUUGAAGUUUAAAACACUUUGAGAAAAGACCAGUCUACAGAUUUUUUUGGAAUUUUUACAGACUCCCAGUUAUAUCACAGUCUUUCUAUUACUAAACUGCGCUAGAUGCAAAGAUACUUCAAAGCUAACAAAAGUAAAACAGAUGCAUGUAAUGUGCACAUUAUUGCAAGACUCCCAAAGUUUUCUGUCCGUAAAAAGAUACAUGAAAACAUUUUAGAUACUUCCAAUGCUGCAGAUUUUCUGACAACUCUAAGAACAUGAUCACAAGGCUUUCUGAGGCUACAGACUGAGUUAAGAAUCAUCCCAGUACAGCAAUGAAGCAAGACAUUUACUCACUUCUAGAGUAGAAAUCCUUCUGACAACCAAGAGGAAGAUUCGGGCGUCUGACAGCCUAGGGUCUGGGGAGCUUUCUAUGAGCAGUCCAUAAACCUGGAGCCACUGUGUGGUGGUCAGCGUAACCUACUUGUUGUGGAUCUCAUCACUUAUGGAUCUCAUGCUUUGGUCUUCCUUCUCCCAGUAGGUCAAGAGGGACAAUGAAGGUAAAAAGUUAUGAUGUUAUAGUGUUUGCUGUCUUACUAGUAAUAACUGUUUUAUGGUCAUUGAUGUCUUACUGAUUCUACACUGAUUUACAGAAGAUUCGAUUUUUCAGUUCCUCCAGACUCGUGUAGCUGAUAUUUAAUAUCUUCAUGGAUUGAAUAAUGAAAGUCUGCACUAGAUAUAGUUUCUGCCUAAUUCUUAUUUUGUGAUUUAGGAGCCACUGGAAACUCUUUUUUUUCCAAGAAGUUUAGACUGCUAAAUACUUUGGCAGCAGGUCAAAGUUGACACCUGCCUAAAGAAGCAAGAACUGUGUAACUCCUUGUAUGAAAAGAGUUUAAAAGAAGUCAGCAUCAAACACUACAGAUUUUCAUACCCUGGGAUACUCUGCAGCUUCAAUGAAAAUUCUUCUGCUGGAAGGGAAGAACUCUAUCUACACCAUAUUCAACAAAUGGAUGGAGGAGUGUCCCAUUUCAUCGGUGCUCAGCAGAUGCUGUGGAAAAAAGCUCAAAUACUUCCUCAAGAGCUUAUUAGCUAUUAUUUAUGUCAGCAUCUCUCAUGCUAAAACAUAGAAGUAACUUGUCAGCUUUUGCAUAUUGUAGGCCAAGCUCUUUCAGUUCUCUAGCCAUUAGUACUUCCAUUAGCACUUUUUGAGAAACUUACUGUGUAAUUGUGGAUACUGCUGAUCACAUCAAGUCUUUAGAAUAUGUAGCCACAUACCUAUUUACUCCCCCAAUUACUGAAUUUCACAUCAUUCUUCUGCUGUCAAUUUGUUCUUUAGAAAACUAGGCUUUUAUUUAUUUAUUUAGCAAUUUGUGUGUGCUUAAGACAGUCUGACUCAAUUGCCACUCAUAGUCUAGGGAUAAUUACAUGUUAGAUACUAUAAAUGGAAACAAAGCAUGUAUUUCCCUGAAAAUACAGAAGAAGAGGAAAAAAAUAACAAAGAGCAGGCAGUAGAAACACUUUAAACCUCUUGUCUUUCCAUACCAGCUGUUCGACACUAGCACUCUUAUUAAAAUCACUUUUAGAGUGAAAUCAUACAGUGAUGCUGCUUCUGAGAUAUUAAUAUUGUCAUGUCUAAGACUGGAUUAUCCUCCCUAGGGCACUUUUUAGCAGGCUUUAGGUCCUUGCCAACACCAGCAAUAUUUGGACCCCUACUGAUGAUAGAGUAAAAGAAUUGCCUUCUGUCUUAAAGAGAAUAACUGCUCCUUGUGACUCACACCUCCUUACUCCUCUUGAAUGCAGCUGUCUUUUUCUUAUCACAGUUCAAGUAAAUUUACAAGGAUGCUUUAGUAAGAGAAAACUGAAAAGGCUGCUUAUUCUCCAAGCUCACUAUGUUGGCUUUUUUUUUCUGAGGAGCACUCAUUGUUCAGUAAUGAUAUUCCCUGCUGAAUUCACAAAUUGAAUCUGGGGGAGAGAGAGCGAGGAUGUUUUGAAGGUUAAAUUAAAUGACACGUUUUGUCAGCAUGGCCCAUAAAGAUGAUAAUGUGUUAUUUAUUGUGAGUUUUGAUGUUAUCAGGUUUGCACAACAUAGAAUGUAAUCUCUGGAAUAUCUGCUAGAUUUAUCCCAUGUUUCUGGAGCCCAAACAGCCAUGGAAAGCCUCUGGUUUUCUAUUGGUCAAGUAGCAUAAUGUAAAAAUGGUUUUAUACCUCUAAUCUGGACAUGAUGGGUCAUAAACACUUCUCCCUACCCAGGAUGAACCAAGCAACAACUCUUGAUUUGGCACCACGUUUCUACCAAUGUCUGAUAAAGAAAGCUGAAUUUAUUUUACAGCUGUGUGCCACUGCUUGUGGCAGAAUUACCGAAGUUAUCCCAAAUGGGUGCCUGGAGAUGUAACCAUAUGAUUUUACAGUGGAGGGACAAAGAUGAAUAGAAAAUGAGAAAGCAGAAAUUAUGUAAUAUUGUGAACUAUUGUAUUUUUGGUAAGCUCACACCAGCAUCAUUGUCCAAGGUUGCCAGUGCUUUGACAGCAUCCCGAGUGCCCCCAUCACAACAGUUAUACCAUUCGUCACUUAGAGGAGCAGUGAAGCAGCAUUUUUACUCCAUCAUUCUUAGCAAGUCUCCCCAAUGAUAGCACAAAACAUAUGCUGCACUUUUCUCACAUCCAGCUUGCCUCUUCAGAGCACUAAAGUACAAUUCAGUUUGGCUCUUGAUAGAAGAAGUAGUAAAAGGCAAAAGAUUUGCAUGAACAUACUGAAGCCCAUCCAAGUUCAAAUGAAGCAGUAAUCCAAAAUUUUGGGUUGGCUUUGUGGAAGAAGGGAGAUGUGGGAGAAAAUGAAAGUAGACAUUAAAGCAGUGUAUAUAGUAUUAUGUAAAUGAAAGCCCAAAUUUUCAGACCUAGCUAAGCAUUACAUAAAUGACUGUAGCAAAUGUUUCAAAUUAAUGUAGCAAUUUUGCUACACUAUUAUUUAUGAGCAGUAAUUAUCUUAAUUUCUGUGUAACACUGAAUUAUUUCUGCCAUUUUUGGUUAAGACCUAACAGUUUCUUUAACCUUCUAAUAAUUGAAAGCCUGCAGUUCAUGUAUUGAUUUCUUCUGAAAACAGAACUUUUAAAAUAUUUGAAAUUGCUGUAGGAAAAAGAAAAAAUCAUUUUCUAGAACUAAUGUGAAAUUUUUUCUAUAUGUUUCCAAGUUCUUGAAUUCAGUGCUUAUAACACGAACUAACAGCUGAACUCUGAGGAUAAAGAAACUGUUAUGGCACCUGUGUAAGUUAUGUCUCUAAGCCACCUCUUCUGUUCUGUUACUAUUGGCCUUAAUAUGAAAGGUUCUUUCAAUAUUCUUCAUGAUCUGUUGGAAAGAAAUAAAAUUCUUAAAAAUUUAAAAUCUUCCUACAUAAGACAUAAGAACAUUACAUAAGAAAUCUUAACACAAGCAAGAUAUUAAGAUGUAUAGAAAAUAUCGCGUACUCAGGGAACUUUAUACAGAAAUAAUGAUGUAAAUUAUUGUAGAACCUUGGAGAUAUGUCAGGUAUCUAAAAAUCAGAAGAUAGUCACCGUUAAAAUUGAAAGACAAUAACAAAAAGGAACCUUAGAAAAACUGAUAAUAAAAACAUGCUUCUUUUCCCUUUCUUAGUAUAGAGAAAAACAUGUAAGGAUAGAAUUUUAUUGGUAAGAGGAUUAGGAACUUCUUGUAUCAUAGAACAAGAACAUAUUUUACAUGAAAAGUAGAAGUAGGAUAUCAAACCAUGGAAAAUUCUGAGACAAGUACUUAAUCGGAAACAAAGUAUGAGUAAGUAUUUGUAAUUUCUGUAGAUUGUUCAGAAUUAUAGUUAAUUCUAACAAGCAUUGUGGAAAAAAUAUUGUAUCUCUUGUAAAAUUAGAGAGAAUAUGAAGAUGAAUAUCUGUGUAUUCUUUUACAGUGUCUGCUGUUGGUCACUUUGAAAAAAUGGUUUAGUGAAUUAGAGGAACAUCUGGAUUGAUCCAGUAUGACAAAAUCCUUUCAAAAUUGAAAUGUAAAUAACUUAAAAUUUGGCUGUCUGAAAUUACGUACUUAAUUUAAAGACUCAAGAAUUCAUUGAUCUAAGGGGAGGAAGCGUUAUUGAGAGAAUAAAUAAUAAAAGCCAAUAAACUAGGGAACUAUCUAGUAUUUUGUUGUUAGUGGUGAUGCUGAUGAUUAUGAUGAUUUUUCUUUGUUUACCUUCAGGGAGCAGAGGAUGGACUUUAUCCUCCUUUCUUAUUUUAUCCUCAUGAGAAUUCAAUCCACUGAUAUCUGACCAUCACGUUCUAUCAGUGUCUGAGAUGCACCUCAUGAGAUCUGAUGGCAGUCAAAGACUCCUGAGUAGAAAAUGUAUUCAAAAUUCCACUGUUUGGCCACUAGAUGACUCUCUGACCUAUUUAAAUUUAGCAGGAAAUGUAUGUGGUAGACACUGGGAACACAAAAAAUUGAUUAACUUAUUGUUGAUAUUGGUAGUUCUGUAUAGAAAGAGAGUCAGGAAUCAAGACAAAAUUCAAGCUCAAAUAUUUUAAUAACUUCAUUUUUUUCCCCCUCAAGUCCACCAGAACUUAAGGAGAAAUACAAAUGCACACACACAAGGACAAAAAAGCAAUCUUGACAAAUCUAAUAGACAAAUCUGAAACUCCAAUGUUAUCACUACAUUUGUAAUAGGUAACAGUAGGAAAUAGUGUCUGAUGAUAAUUCUACUGAUGUUCUGCUGGUUCUAAAAGCUCCAGAUAUAUUUAAUUCUUUCUUUCAGAAAUUUUGGUCUCUUCCUGGGGAGUAGUGUUAUUAUUUCUUUAUUUCUAUCACAAAUGCUUAAGGAAGUUGCAGUAGCAUACAAGUUAUGGUUACUCUCAUCUCACAGGUGAGCAACUGUAAAGCUGCUAAAAAAGGACUUGAAUGCAUGUGUGUGAGAAAUAAAAGUCAGAUCUGAUUUGAAAUUCCACAACUAAGUGAUAUAUUGAUAAAGGUUAUUCUGGAUCAUGAAUUUUAAGUCUGACUACUGACAUCUGCAGUAUUUCAAUGGUUGACAAACCCACUAAACUGACCAAUUAGAUUCCCUGUAUAAAGAGAAUACAGUGAAUCCCAAAAAUGCAUUCUUCAUUGCUGUUUUAUGCUGAAUCAAAGAACAGAUGGUAUGGCUGCCAAUUGGUGUUCAGAAUCAUAAGAACAUUAGAAGAAUAUUCUGUUGUGAAGUGUAGAGCAGUAAGCAACUCAACAAACCAAGUUUUGAUAGAAUUUCUUAUCUGCUUAUGAAAAAUUCAGGAACUAGCACUCCUAUACAGAUACACACACACAUGUAUAUAAUGCUUACAGUUCUUUCCAAAGUGAAUUACUGUCACAUGGUAUAAAGAAACCACAUACAUUAAGAUCCAAAUUAUCAAUGUUUGUUUCUUACACAUAAUGGAGAAAAUGGAACAAUUUUGAAGACUGUGUGAAUACUUGUUUAGCCUUGUUUUUGAUACCAUGAUCAGAAUCACUGUUAAAUAAAAACUAUUUUUUCCCACCUGUAAAGAUUAUGUUUUCAUAAGACAAUAUUAAAAAUGAUUUAUUUGGUCAGCAGAAGUUUAGUUUGGCAUCUGAAAGAAUAUAUAUAUAUAUUUUUUUUUUUGUUAAAAUGAUCGAAUUCUCAAAUGAAAGUAGAAAAUAAAACUAAUUAUAUCUACUCCUCACAACUAAAAAAGUAUUUUUUUCAUCAAAGUGAUAAAGAUUUUAAAAGUACUUGAAUUCUCAUGCGCAUUUUCAAAAUAUAUUCUAAAAUGCACUCACUAUUAGUGAAUGAAGGACUAAUUAUUUCAAUAUAGUAAAACAGAUUUUAACCAUCACUUCCUUUCAAAAGUAGGAAAUUUUAACUUCAAUAUGCAACUAUUUAAAUGUAAAUGCAAAUUCUUCUAGCAGUGAAAAAAAUAGUAAAGUGCAACCCUUAGAAUAUAGAUCUGGUGGCCAUUACAUUACUGUAAAUUGUACUUCAAUUUCAUUCUCAGCUUUUUCUCUGAUCUACUUUUUAUGCUUCAUAAGGAAUGAGUCAGUCAGGAGGCAGAGUGGAGCUGGAAUAUUGCAGACAGACAUUUUCAUUAGGUAUUUUUCAGUCAAGCAUGAAAUUCAUCAAUGGAACAUUUAAGAUUUGUGUAUUUCAUUUUUAAUUCUGGAUAUUCCUUAUUCAUUUGUCUUUCUUGAUAGCAAAUGUUUUUAUUUGGAGGCAUUUGAUAGAGUGAUUUAUGGAGUUUGAUCAAUCAGAGCCUAUAUCAGCUUAGCACACUUGUAAAAGUAGAGAUGAGCAGUGAAAUCAGGAUAAACAAGGGCUUCCUGUCUUUUUCUUACAUUGUAAAAUUUGUUAGCCAGAACCAAAAAUUCAACACUCAGAAAGCAAGAAGUCAAGAGUCUUCAAAAAUGUAGCCAGAAUUUUUUAUUACAUAAAUUCACCUUAGAUACAAGAGAACUGUGUAACAUUAGCACUUCAAUGUCUUCCUUGUUUUAAGUAGUUUCUUUCAUAUUCUGUGCCUUGGCAGCUGCAGACAGACUAUAGCCAUGGACAAAUUCAGUCUAGAGAGAUUCAGAAGCAAAUCUGGCCCUCAGUCAAAACACUUUGAAAUGGAUGAAAGGGGGUCUAUUGACUUUGAUGGACUUUGGCUUUAGCUCUACCAGCUUCCACAGGCAGUCUGGGGUUCUGAUUCUGGCUCCACAUGAUGAUAAUAUAUUUUAUUCAAUGGCUGCUUAGGUAUAUAUAUAUUGAAUUGCACAUAGAAUAGGUGUAGGAAUACAGAGCUUUACCCCAGAGAUGUUGUUUAAAUAGUGAAGAUACAUACUAUAUAUGAUAUAUACAUCCAUAAUACUUCUGAAUUUUCUGUGAUUUUCCUGCAGUCACACAAAUUUUCACAGAAUCGUAGAAAACUCUGAGUUGGAAGAGACCCACAGAGAUACACAAGUCCAAGUCCUAGAUCCACAAAGGUCUUAAAAGUUACUUGAAUUUUUAAAUUAAAAAUAAAUUUCAAAUUUAAAAAAUUAUUACUUAAAAAUUAAGCUAAAUAUCUAAGACUUAUAUAAGCAUUUAAUGAACUCUAGUAGUUUGUGGUCAUGCCUACAGCCCAGGGCAGCCUGUUCCAUGCCCACUGCCUUCUGGUGCAGAACCUGUCCUUAACCCCUAGCUGACACUGCAUCCAAAAUGAGGCCUCCCCUCAGCCUCUUCCUUGGGCUGCACAAACCCAGGGACCUCACACACAGCAUAUAUAUCUUGCCCUCUACACCCUCUACCAUCAUUGCAGCUCUUCCUUGGACAGUGAUAAUUUUUUUAUCAUUUUUGCAUUAGAGCUAUCUUCUGUCAGUGUGUAACUGGACACAUGAGAUGAAGUGGAUUGCUCAUGGAAAAAUGAAGAAAGGAAUUACUAUCCACAUGAAAAUGACUUCUGUAACCAGAUCUGAGCUAAAAUAGCACAUACCAAGUUGUAGCAAGAAAAAAGGAAAACAGUUACCAUUGCAUUUCACCGAAUCCAAAUCUGCCUGAGAGAGGUUGUGGAUGCCCCGUCCCUAGAGGUGUUCAAGGCCAGAUUGGAUGGGGCCCUGGGCAGCCUGGUCUACUAUUAAAUGUGGAGAUUGGUGGCCCUGCAUGUGGCAAAGGGGUUGGAGAUUCAUGAUCCUUGAGGUCCCUUCCAACCCUGGCCACUCUCUGAUCUGCCUGACAUUGGGAAAAGGCCAGACUGCAAGCAUUAUAAGGAACUGUCAGACCAAGAGCAACAUAGCUAUGAAAUAAUAGCUUUACUGCUUUAGAAAGAAGAUGAAGAUAUAUGGCUAAGAUUUCCUGUGAUUUUUGAAAGUAUUACUAAGUCUUAGAAAGUUUGUGGCCUUUAUCUACACUUCUGUAAGCAUAAUAUGCUGAUCUAAGUACACGACAAGGGAGAAAAUGGUCCACCACCUGCUGCCUGAAUCGAGCACUCACCCACAGGUCACCAGUCUUGUCAAAAAGAUUUGCACUGACAGAAUAUGAAAUGGCAUUACCAUCAAAACAUAUAAGAUUAUCUUUCCUUUGAAGAAAAGCAACAGCUAAACUAACUUUGAAGUUAGAGGACAGGAAGGCAAUUAGUUCGAAAAUAUUAGACACAAAUGGAGAAAUAAAUUCAAUGUUGCCACUAAUAGAAACUGGCAGUUUCAAACCCUGAAAGAUGGGCUUCUUAGUGCACUUUUCAGUGCCAAAUCCCCAGCUGGAGCGAACUGAUUUCGGACCAUAAGAAUGGAAUCACUUAAAUAGCCAUGUCCAAUCCUCUAUAAAUGCAAGCUUUUCUGCUAUACAUAAACAGAUUUCACAGAACAUCUCUGUGUCACUAUACUCUCAUGAGCCAUAGACCAUGUUCUGAUAACCCACAUAAAUUUGAGGCUUACACUGAAAGACUAAGAGAUGUAUCACAAGAACAAAGCAAAGGAAACUGUGGAAAUUUAAGAAAUUAUGCUAAUCAAAACUUUGCAGAUGAUUUUAAAAAGUGAACUACGCUAUGGAAUACCUAACUUCUCCUCUGCUUGCAAAAGACUAAACAGGAAUCUGGUUAGUGAAAACAUCUUUGAACAUAUGAACAAAAUAGAGGCAAUUAGGCACUUAUGAAAGUACAGUGCUAUCGAAGGGAUCAAAUAUGGGAUUUCUGGUUGCCUUAAGCACUUGCAGAGCUUCAGUAUUCUUCAGUUUAUAUUAGUUUAAUAUCAAGGCUUCAGUCUUUAGAAUAUAUUUGACAUUACUUAAAGCUAUGUUACAAUUUCUGGUAUCACUUUUUUAAAUAUUUUUACAUAAUUUUGAAUAUCAACUAAGCUGAGCUGUUCAUCCUAAAAUAUGUUAACUGAAUCUCAAAUGGCUACAUUCAGCUUUUGCACUUCAUUAUCCACAAACACGCAAUCUGCUGUCUUGCUGCAGUACUGAUGACCAUAGUAACACAUUCAUUGAAUGGCUUGGGUUGGAAGUAACCUUAAUGACCAUGUAGUCCCAAUGCCCCUGCUGUGGGCAGGGUUGCCUCUCACUAGAGCAAAUUGCUCAGGGAUCCAUCCAGCAUGGUCUUGAAGUAUCACUGAAUACAUUUUGCAGACAGCAAGUAAUUAUUUUCCCCAUUGAGAGAGUAACAUGGCAUCUAUAGAAAUACAGAGCUUAGUGAGUGUUAAAUCCUUUACUAUUACUGUUAUGCAGUUGAUUUCCUAAAGAAUCCAGGCCAUCCUUUUAAAUGCAAUCUAUGCAAGCUGUUCAUGUCUUUUCUGCCUUUCUUCUGAUCUGUUGUCUAAAACUAAGGUAAGGCUUACCUUGACAAUCACCUGAGAAUUUUCAGAAAAUACAGAAUGUACCUGUUGUUCUUUUUAACAGAAUCUGCUAUUGCUAGCAUAAAUCAUAACUCUGUGAAUAUAUGCUGAAACUAUACUUUUGUUCAGACAAAUCUGAAGAUGUUAUUAAUACUACUUAAAACCUCGACUGGCAUAGACAUCAGCUUCACAUCAGAACACCUCUCACACUAUUUCUCCUUAUAAAAGUUAAAAUCAAUUGCAGAUCUCUUAAAAUGAGCCAUCAGAUUUGCGUUUUUUAAGAUAACAGUGAUAUCAGCAGUGGUUCUCAUGCUGGAAAACUAUUCCUCUGGCAGGUCACCAGAAUUUAGAUUUGGCAGGCUGCAAAGUGUAAUGUAAGGUUUACUUGCUCAAUCAAGCAUUCAAUUAACUAACACGUCAGUAUGCCGGUCCUUUGUGAGGCAAAAUAAAAUGUGCUAAAGCACACUGAACCAUCUGAAUGGAUAGUUGCAUAAUUAAUAUUUGUUUUUAAUUUAUUGUAAGUUGUCCAGAUGCUCUGGCAAUCAGUCCCUUAGAUAUCCUUCAAAUAAUUGACCGAGUCCUGUAAUCUUACUAGAGGGCAGCAAAUUUUCCUCUGUUUGAUUAGAAUUGAAUAAAUGAUUCAGCAGACAUUUUCAAAUUCUUUUUAAUUUUUUUUUUCUAAUUAAUGAAUUGUUAACAGUUCUGAAAUCAUUUUCUUCAAUUGCCCAUUUGUUGAUUGAUAUGGUUUAUCAGUUAUCCACAAAUUAUCUAAGAUCAUCAUUGUUUUGAGACCAAAACAUUCUCCAACUCAGUAAACCAAGCUUUAUUAAUAUGAGGUUUGUCAAAGUAAUAGUGCUCUUCUUGGGAGAAAAGAAAGCAUGUAAUUUCAGGGCAUCUCAUCUUUGUUAGCUAUUUCAGCAUUAGGUUAAUUAUAUUUGUGUAAUCAUUAAGCAGAAAAAGACUGAGGGCAAUAUAGAGAUAGGAUGCGAGGAAAUUAUCUCAGAUUGCACCACAAUAGAUUUUGUUUGUGUAUUAGGAAAAAUUAUCUACACAAAAAGGGUGGUCAAGCAUUGGAACAGUGCCCAGGAAAGCAAUGGAGAUAUAUAGAUCUCCAUUGAUCUAUAGAAUAGAUCUAUAUAUUCUAUAUAUUCUAUUAUAUAUUCUAUAUAAUAGAAUAGAUCUAUUCUCUUACAGAUUUGUAUCAUUCAUUUAUGCAUUCUCUCAAUUCAUACACUGGACAAAAUGUCAUUUGCAGAAGAAUAAUUCCUUUACCUAUCAACUCUGUUUUAUUUUUAUUCUGUCCAAAGUUACACUGACUUCUCUACUGCCUUAUUCCUGGCAAACAGUUAAUGAUCACACUCAAUGUGCAAAUAUAACAGGGAUCCUUAUAUUUUUCUGGUUAGUUGUAAUCGUACAAAGCCAUUCUCACAGAUGAACACAAAUAAUAACAGAUGCUACAAGCAUUAGUGUACAUAGAGACAUUUAUUUGAAUGAUAAUGGAAACCUCAGCAAGGGUAGAUUGGCUCAUAAAUCAGAUUUACGAAAUACUUUUUUGACCUCUGCAUCUUGCAUUCACAAUACAGCGGGUUCAUUUCAAGAUAAACUGCUUAGCAGCAACCUUUUUAAAUGUAAUAUUUCUAUGUUUAAAAAAUCUACUUUAUUUAACGCUUUACAAUACACAAUAUUUAAUUGUGUUUUAUAAUAUUUUAUUUGCAGCUAUGAAAGCUCAUUAAAAUAUGUGAAUAAUAUUUCCCAAGCUCAAUUUAAGCUGUUUUCAACAUUUGUUUUUUGACUGGGGUGUCCUCCGGGUUUUCAUUCUCAGAUGUUAGGAUUUUACAUACUUGUUAACUCAAAAACAAACAAGCACGACAGAAAAAUCAUACACACACACAAAACAGUUUGAGAGGUCAUCAAUGAAGUAUUGAGAAGAUAAAGCACCAAAAUGACUGUAUCUGUAAAACACUAACCAUUCCGAACAAAAGUAAUAAGAACUAAGCAUCUCAUAUUUUUGAGUUAUUCAGUCAGAAACAAGUUCUAUUCAGAUUUGAAAUUGGACUAGAACUUUUGUGCAAAUAUGUCAAUUCUAUCAAACUCAAAAUCCUACAUUUUCUUAUUUCUUGGCCUUGUUUUAUUCAUUAAAGCACUCCUGCACAGAAAGGAGGUCUACGGAUCUUGCAAACAGAACUGCUCCUUAAAUAUCAGUACACAUCUUACUCCUAUUUCAAAGAAGUAAGAAAUAUUUGACAAUCCGUAGCUUAAUGUAAAAAAAACCCAAACAACUCUAACACGCCAUGUUUCAGCUUUAUUUUCAUUUACAUUAUCUUGGACAAUUAUUCUGAGGAAAGUCAUUAAUCUCAUGCAUAGUCAAAGGUAUGCACGAUAUUAAUGAUUUUAGGAAAAUGAAAUUCAAGAGAGGUUUUCUGAUAUCAUUCACAUUAUGCAAACAUUUAACAUUUCUGCUUCUGCUAGGGUACAUUACCAGCACACAGAGAAUUCAACUUUGGGUUCCUAUGGAUUAAAAAAGUAACUAGCAUGCUAUGAAAUGGAAAAGAAAAUUAUUUAGCACAUAUAUGCAAGCUUUCAGUAUGUCAAAAUUCAAAGGGUAUCAUUUCUAUAAUUGGUGCUCCUACUGUAAGUGAGAAUUUUACCUGCACUUUUCUAAGUUAAUCUGUAUACAAAUUGUAAGUAUAAAAAAACAGUUCAAGAUUUCUGACUUUUUUUUUCUUUUUUUUUUUUUUUAAAGAAGCUUUUUUUUCUACCCAUCUAUUUUGUCAUAUUUCUUCACCUUGAAAGAGAGAUAAAGAUAGAGGGAACUCUUUUACAGUCCUUAGCUAGAGCUAAAAGGACACAGGAAAUAUUGAAUCCACAUAUUAAUUGAUUAUUUUUGUAGGAGUUUAGCACUUGACACUCUUUUAUACUGCCAUAAUUAAAAUAAGUCGAUGGGUCAAUUAAAGUGAACUUUUCAAUAUUAAUGACCUUUGAUUACACCUAACGGAAGAAUCAAUGAUAUAAAGCCAGGACAGACUAGAAAUACUGAUCCAGAAACCUUGUAAAAUAGGCACACAUAUCAUGCAAAAAAGUUUGAAUGCAAAGAUAAAGUAGGGUUGUGUCAUACGCAAAUAAACAGAGUUCUAUCAUACAGUUAUAUGAUAAAUAUUAACAGAUACAGCACUCAUCCAAGCCAUCUCUGUUAAGUGAAGUUGUAGCAUGAAACACAACCUAAGCUUCUUAAAAGUAACUGGUGCCAAUGCUUAAUCAGAUAUUGUAAUUACCAGAAAUAUCACUUAUCCAUGUUCUAUUAGACCUAUUUUCAGCAGCAAUGCUUUUAUUUACUUAUUAUUUUCAAAGCACUCACUGUUCUUGACAGAUCUCAUUUUCACCCUGUAUCCAUAAUGUAAGAUUUCUAAAGUAGACAGGUUAGCCUAGCUAUGGCCCAAAUAAUUUGGUGAAAGGUCAACAGUGUGUUCAGUGGGGAAGGAGCCAACUCAGUUACAAGUGUUUUUCAAAGUCUCGCCUUUUAGCUUUUCAAAUAAAACAUCUGAGAAAAAUCAAGAAAAGCCAGCUGCCACUUUACUUUCAAACAACUGUACAAUAGGUGAGCAUGGCUAAACAACAGAACACAGCUUAACUCAGUGGUUUGCUUUCAAAACAUUACAGCAAACGGAAAAACAACACUAGCAAUAACAAAUGUUUAAAUUAGUAAAAAAAAUUAAAAAUAAUAAUAAAAAAAAUUGUGGCGCUAUCAUUAACAUAUGCCAAAAAAAGGAUGGAUAGAUACGUUACUGGGGCAUUUUUUAUUUAUUUAUGAACACACAAGUUAGUAGCAGCAUAGUUCAUACUAAAAGGAUAGUUUGUUAUUGCAAAGUGUAGUGCUCCUUGAUUUUUUUCCUGCAGUAAGUAGCAAUACAUCAAAACCCACAUAUUUAAUCAACUUAUCUUGAUGUCAGAAGACCAUGGCAUACCCUGAAGAAUAAAUAUUGAAUAGUGUUUAUAUCCUGCCAGUAUAUUCUUGGGUAUCCAUUUGUUGCACAGUUAAUAUACAUACAGAAAUGACUGCCAUUUAUUACCAGUACUAACAAAACAGUCAAGACUUAUUGUGUGCAUAUGCAUAUUAUAUACAUAUUAUGUAUGCAUUAUGCAUAUGUAUACAUAUUUACAAUAUUAUAUAUAUUAGUUGUAUAUCAAUAUGCAUAUAAAUUUCUGUUUAAAUAUUUACAAACAAUUAUCACAUUUUUCAGACUCAGUCUUUAAUAUUGCUUUCAACUGACUGAAAGGGCACACGGAAACAAUGGGAACGUAUGGAAAGAGAUUAUCUGUUUUGAGACCAGAUUGUGAUAUGUUUACUCACACUGAAUAACUUAUGAGGAAUAUUCCUUCUGUGGUGUAAAGUACUCUGCUGUGAAGGAGGGUCAUGAUGUGGCACUCUGUAUUUACUCAUGCCAUUGGAUGUAGGUUCUCAGUGUUACAUUAGAACUAAUUCUAGGGCUUGAUUGCUUCAUUGUAAAGCCCACCACAGGAUUGUGUUCAUGAAGUAGGUACUGGUAACAAGCUCUAACCUCCCCUACAUAGGAAGUAGAAAGACGACUGAAGUCCUUCAUUUCUAAGUUUAGUUCAUGACUUCAUGCAACUUUCAAAGUAGAUUGCCAAUGUCACUGUGUAUCCAAAUAGCAUUUAGGCUUAGAAAUAUUAUUUGUUACUUAAGGCUGAUGACACUGCUUAUUUUGCUCACCUUUUAGCCUAGAGCAUAUAAUGAAUCUCCAAAAUGGGAAUGGUUUUGUGCAUGAGGGAUACACAGUUACUCACUCUCACUAACCGUGGAGAAGAAAGAACAGCUUUCAAGUUUAGCUUGAACUUCUUUCUUGAAAAGUUUAACUAACUCUCCCACCUUUUUUUUUUUUUUGCUGUACUCACAUUAAUUUCAAAUUCUGUCUGACUCCCUACUAAAACAGCAGGGGAUUGGCACUUCAGAGACACAAGCCCAUAUGCUAAUUCCCCAUCUUCUGUCAGUGUCCAACACUUGUACCCACACAGUCACACAAGUGGAAAAAAUAUAUAUAUAUUUGAAAAGCAUUAACCCACUUUACCUAGGAAAUUGCCAGAAUUGCAUAGAUAAUUACUAUAUGUACAAGCAAGAAUAUGCAAUUAAGGCUCUUCUGGUAAAUACCAUGUACAUAAUUUUUCCAUUGAAUUGUGUGCACUUGAUGGUCAGGAUGUUGGCUAGACCUACUCCUCAACUUUAACCUCAAGUAAAUGCCAGAUGAAGGGGAUAGACCCUUCCUUUACCCUUAUGGUAAAGGACCUGAUAUUACAAACAUUUGCAGAAGCAAGUGGUUUUAUGCUUGGAUCAUAUGCAGAACCAGAAACUCCCAGAAUUCCUCAAAUAAAAAUAUUCUUUCAAAAAGAAAAAGAAAAAAAAUGAAGCUUGAUCUUAUAAAACCAUAAUCUCAGCUAUCUCAAUCCAUAUGGCCUAUGCUGAUGAUUCCACUGGAUAUAACCACCUGAGUAGGUUUGUUAAUGAUGCAAAAUAUUAAAAAUUAAGAAGUGAAAGUGAAUAUUACUACCUGCUCAAGUAUAAAUGCUAUCAGACAAAUUCUAAUUUCUUUUUCAGAAAUACACAUGGUUCAAAUAAUGAUUACUUUCCAAGGCAUGGUGACAUUUCAAUAUAUGGAAAAAGAAUAAUUUCACAAGGGAUAUGUAUUAUAUAUUUAAAUUAAUAUCAUAUUGCAAAAGAGAGAAUACACAGUGUCAAAAUUACUUUCUAAAAAAAAAUAAACAAACAAAAAACCACUGUAGGACUAAUAGCUUAUACGUAUAUAAACUGAGAAUAAACCCAAUAGCACUCCAAGUAACAGAAGAAUCCUCACUGCCUUUUUCCCAACCUAACAUCUUCUUUUCAUUUACAAGCAGUUCAAUAAAAUAUCUGAUCCCAGUAUUAAUUUUCUUUAUAGUGAAACUGGAAAAUAAAAAUAAAGAAUUGACAGAUCAAACUACCAUUCAGAGGAUCCAUGAAUGUAGGGCUGUUUUACUUGUCAUAUUUGAACUCAGAGAGCAGAGAAGUUUCAUAUUUCAUAAUAAUUAAGUAAAUAAAUUCCAGAUUUGCCAUGGAAACACUGACAUUCAUGAACAAACAGCAGCACGUGAUCACACUCUAGUCAUACAGUAUUAUCCUUUCAAACAUAAUUCUGCAGUGAAACUGCUCUCAGCUUAGUAGCCCAAUCAUACCUCCCUACAUAUUUCUGGAUUAAUCCUUUUGGACUGAGACCGUCAUCUUUCUCCUGGGAUAUAAAGCAGAAAAGAUACCAUUUACAAAAUAUAAGCAUCAACAAAUGCCAUUUUUUUUUUU